UAUCACAGCCAGCUUUGAUGAGCGAUA
rnacentral:ncRNA from 2 species